UACGGCCACAGACCAUUGAAACAUCAAUUCUCAUCCGAUCACCGAAGUUAAGCAACGUCGAGCCAAUCAGUUUUGAGAUGGGUGAUUACUUGAUAAUACCAGGUGCUGUA